GACGAACGCUGGCGGCGUGCCUAAUACAUGCAAGUCGAACGCAGUGGGGACGGGUGAGUAACACGUGGGUAACCUCCCAUCAGAGGGGAUAACACUUGGAAACGGGUGCUAAACCGAUACUGAUGGAUGGACCCGAGGUGCAUUAGCUAGUUGGUGAGGUAACGGCUAAACAAGGCCACGAUGCAUAGCCGACCUGAGAGGGUGAGCGUCCACACUGGGACUGAUGCACGGCCCAGACUCCUACGGGAUGCAGCAGUAGGGAAUCUUCGGCAAUGGGCGCAAGCCUGAUGCAGCCAUGCCGCGUGUAUGAAGAAGGCCUUAGGGUUGUAAAGUACUUUCAGCGGGGAGGCGUUACCCGCAGAAGAAGCACCGGCUAACUCCGUGCCAGCAGCCGCGGUAAUAC
rnacentral:rRNA from 1 species